UAUCACCCCACCCACGAGUGUUCUCAGCACGCACUCACUCCUGCCUCUUCUCUGGUCCCCACACACUCAGCCACCCUGUCCCACCUCUUCUCACCACCAAAUUAAUAUGCUCAUCCUUCUCACCUCAUCCUAGCCCCACCUCCUUCAAGAAUCAGUCCUGAGUCCAUAGCCCCUGCAUCUCCCCCUCACACCCAGAGCACUCCGCCUCCUACAGAUAGCGCUUCCC
rnacentral:lncRNA from 1 species